UAAAUGGAAAGACUAACGUUACUAUACAAAAAUAUGGAAAAGGCAUCUAAUUCAACCUCAGCUGUGACACUUCUCUAUGAAAAGCAGGAUGUACGAUAAAGUGCAUCAAUCCGUCGCUUUGUCCAAAGGUGGCGAAUGUGGUGCUUGAAUUCAAGGUUUCUGCCGGAGACUCUGAGCCCCAAAAUCGCCCGGUCUAAUUCUCGGUCAACUGAAUAACCUGCAGCAAGCAACCUGGACCCAAGUCAUGGGGAAAUUGCAGCCAGGUGUCAGCGUAAAGGAGAUUAAGACAGUGGGGACAGAACUGGGCAUUACUCCUGUCAUAAUUCGUGGAGAGGAAAACAGGAAGGAUUUGGAGAGAUCUAUGGAGUGGGCAAGGCAGUGGUGAACCCUCCUGCCCUGGCAGUCCUGAGUCACAAACCAGAUGGUGCCACCCAGACUAUUGCAUGGGUGGGCAAGGGCAUCGUGUAUGACACUGGAGGUCUCCGCAUCAAGGGAAAGUUAUAAAGACCAACAUGCCUGGGAUGAAAGAGACUGUUGUGAGGCAGCAGCCAUUUUAGGAGCUUUCAAAGCUACUGUCAAUCAGGGCUUCAAGGACAAUCUCCAUGCCGUAUUCUGCCUGGCGGAGAAUGCAGUCGGACCCACUGCCACACGGCCAGAUGACAUCCACACGCUCUACUCUGGAAAGAGUAGCCAUUGGGGGAGCAUGUAAACUGGUUAGGCAAGGUAAUGGUAACCGGGCUAAUAUGAUUGCAACCUGAUGGAGGUAAGUAGAGUUUUUCCUUCUGAUGGGCUUUUGUGUGGGAAAGAAACAAUUAGCUGGCAUUUGAGCAAGGAUUCAUUAUUGGCUUACAUUUAGUUUGUUGUUUGGUUAAUUUAUGGUUUCAAUAGCCUAUUGUUCUUUUUGCUGCCUUUCUGAUUGAGGAAUUUAUGGCCUGAAAUACAUUUUUUUCCCCCUCUUGUUUUGCUAACUUUCUCACAGAGGACAGUGGAGAUCAACAACACUGAUGCUGAAGGCAGGCUAGUGCUCUCUGAUGGUGUGGUGUAUGCCAGCAAGGAUCUCUCUGCUGACAUCAUCCUGGAUAUGGCCACUCUGACAGGGGCACAGGAAGAACGCCACGAGCUCCUGUGCCGGCCUCUUUAUCGGCUCUCACCUGGGAUUUGACUGGCCUGGGGUCUGGGUCCAUGUGGACAUAGCCUCCCCUGUCCAUGCUGCUGGGGAGCGCACAACCGACUUUGGCGUGACUCUGCUCAUGGCUCUGUUCGGCCAGGCCUCAGACAACCCCAUGCUCAACCUUGUGUCUCCUCUGGGGGCCGCUACCAUGAAUGCCGCACGACUGCAAGUGGAGGAGACUGGUGUAAAACCUCCAAGCAGACACCUCUGGACCCACCCACCUCCACUCUUUACACUGACAUACACUGAACACCUAGAAAGCAUUUCUAAUCCUCAAUUUUUAUUCGACUCAUUCACAAUGAAGUGACAUUUUUUGGGAAAAAGAGCAGGUGGCUAGAAUUUCUCUCAAAUUUGUUCAUGUUGUAUUUAAUUGACUGUCUUUAAUUUAGUCUCCAAAUGGUUCAUGAAUAAUUGAGAGGGAUGAUGAAUAUGCAAAUGUUUAUAGCAUGUGGAACACUAAGGUUCUGUCUUCCUUGAAUGAAUUACCAGAGCAUUAUCACCAUUCUCCAAAAUUAACCAUAGCUAUAAUAAAAUCAAAAUACAGACUUAAAUGGUUAAGUAACUGAAUAAGGUAUUUGAUCCUGUGUGAUAAGUGAUGGUUUAUUUUUCUGUUUCAAUGUCCUUGAGCAAAUUAGCUUGUUUAGGUAUCAGGCAAACACAUACUUUGGUUUUUAGCCAUAGCCUAGCCACUGAUGGCCAACUUCUCAUUCUGGACAUUGGGAAUAACCCAUGUGAAUAGUAAAGCUGGAUAUUUGGAAUAGGAUAUAUACAGUGCCUUGCGAAAGUAUUCGGCCCCCUUGAACUUUGCGACCUUUUGCCACAUUUCA